ACCAUCCCUUGAAGAUCCUCCAUGUUGACUGCUGCGAUUUCCAAUACUGUCCCCUUGACCUCAACGCCAUGGACGCGCCAUUGGAGAUUACGAGAGAUGUGUUUGAGUAUAAGGAGAUCUGUUCCAGCUCCUUUACUCGUGCCCUAACAUCAAUGUACAAACAAUAGACUUUUGUCUUACCCUAGUGAUUAAAUAACUGAGCAUGCAAGGGAGCAGCUCGUCCAGGCGAUUCCACUUGAACUUUCUAUUGUCUCUCGAUAUAUACCCAUGCGGAAAUUAACCACUCCAAGACAGUGUGGCUAAAGAAGUGAGGCGUGGUACACUGUUUCAUGUAGAAAAGGUAGAAACAAGUUUCAUUGUAACUCCAUCUCUACACAUGAGAGAUUCAUUGAGACUUCGAACAAAAUAGAAUCCGAUAAAUUUUAUCCUUUAUUGAACCUGCACAAAGGAAACAAAUGUUAAUGAAAUAAGUUAUCUCCAUUUUCUCAUGUGGUCGACCUUGGAGACGGCAUGUUGUCCGUAUCCUACGUUAAUUUCUUGCAACAGUUAUUCUCAAAUUUCCUUAUGUUUACAUAACCAUUUACGUUAUUUCUGCAGGAUUACUUAUGCUUUGUUUUGUUA
rnacentral:lncRNA from 1 species